CUUUCACUGGCACUCCAACUUAGCUGAGAUCAAUAUCCUGACACUGGACGGCCGCAACUUAUUUUCAACAGGGAACACUUAAGUACGGACUAUGAUUUGAAACAUAUCAGGUGAAAGAAUUUCAGAUAAUGUUGGAUAUUCCACGACUUUCGGACUUCUAAGUUCAGAAAGGUAGGAAAAAAUUAUUCACUGGACAGACUGUCGACACCAGAGGAAACAGUAAAUUAUUUUGUACUUCAAGAUAGAAAACAUGAGUUUCGUUGUAUUAUUUAAUCCGAAAAUUUGAUGAAGCUCCCGUUGGUUUACUGUCAUAACAAAAUAAGUUCUCAUCCAACAAAUGAAUGUAUGGAACUCAAUUAGUGUCGACGUUGACCAGAGAAUAUUGACGGAAUACUUGAAUCAUAAAUGAUUAACAGACAUUCAACCUUGACGGCAAGAUGUUCACAGUGAAUGUUGUUUUGUCGUUCCUUCCUAAGACACUAGCACGAAAACGCAAAAAAGGUGGGGAAUACUUAAUUUUAUAGUUAUUUAAAAUUGUGUAUGUUAAUCAAUUAAUUAAUCCAGUAUUAAAGAAUAAGACCGAUUUUUAACUGUAUAUUAGCCUUAUAAAAGAUGACGAAUUCAGAUCCUUCCGGACUUGUGAAAUAUCGCUCUGUGAAUGAGAAAUGUUAGUUUGUGUAUGUACUUUUUUGUUUAUUUCUUUCUAUUUACCAACCAUUUGGUUCCUAAUAAUCUUAAUGAAUAAAUAAACAAAAUAUGUUUCAAAUUAACAUAAUAUUAUAAUCGUUAACCGCACUGUUAAUCUAUUGUGUGAUUUACAUAUCUCUUUUAGAUUAAGUUCCUUUAUUUAGGGGUGUAAGUGGCUCUACCACGACCUUCUGAGCCAAAGCCAACCUCUCCUGCCCGCGGCGCACCCUGCCAAUCAACGAACGAGGCUCUGGCGGAGACGUGGUCGCAAAAGAACCAAAAACACAGCCCUCAGGUUCGAUCGACCGCAACCUUACCAGUACGCGAUGACGUCUCUUUGUUAAUGUUACAUUCGAUUCACGUAUACUUUAAAUAAUUCAUUCGGCUAUUUAACUUUCAUUAAUUCUCAACGUGUCAGCCUGUUUUUAAUGAUUCUUACUAUGUAACCACGAUUUACUAAAUUUAUUUUCACAUGUAAUAAAUAUUGGUCUAUGGUUGAGCUAUUGUAGUUUGACGACUUGUAACUUAAUGUUAGAUUGUAGGUUUUAAGUGUAUGAAUAUUUAAUCUCUCAAUGUCAUAGCUGUGCUUUUUAAUGUAAUCUAAUAUAUGGCUAUUAGAAUAAUUAUGAAACAGACACACGCACACACACACAAUCGAAUAUUAGAAAAACGUAUUUAACGACAUUAGUAUUAAUUAAAUUCUCUAACUUAAUAUUUCAUUAAAUACAUUAUUAUCGCUCAUGAGUGUAUCUUAAUCUUUAUAUUAAAUUGAUGUGUAGUAGAAAA